CCUACGGGGGGCAGCAGUGGGGAAUAUUGGACAAUGGGCGAAAGCCUGAUCCAGCCAUGCCGCGUGAGUGAUGAAGGCCCUAGGGUUGUAAAGCUCUUUCAACGGUGAAGAUAAUGACGGUAACCGUAGAAGAAGCCCCGGCUAACUUCGUGCCAGCAGCCGCGGUAAUACGAAGGGGGCUAGCGUUGUUCGGAAUUACUGGGCGUAAAGCGCACGUAGGCGGAUCGUUAAGUCGGGGGUGAAAUCCCGGGGCUCAACCCCGGAACUGCCUUCGAUACUGGCGAUCUAGAGUCCGGAAGAGGUGAGUGGAAUUCCGAGUGUAGAGGUGAAAUUCGUAGAUAUUCGGAGGAACACCAGUGGCGAAGGCGGCUCACUGGUCCGGUACUGACGCUGAGGUGCGAAAGCGUGGGGAGCAAACAGGAUUAGAUACCCCUGUAGUC
rnacentral:rRNA from 1 species